UAGGGAAUCUUCGGCAAUGGACGGAAGUCUGACCGAGCAACGCCGCGUGAGUGAAGAAGGUUUUCGGAUCGUAAAGCUCUGUUGUAAGAGAAGAACGAGUGUGAGAGUGGAAAGUUCACACUGUGACGGUAUCUUACCAGAAAGGGACGGCUAACUACGUGCCAGCAGCCGCGGUAAUACGUAGGUCCCGAGCGUUGUCCGGAUUUAUUGGGCGUAAAGCGAGCGCAGGCGGUUAGAUAAGUCUGAAGUUAAAGGCUGUGGCUUAACCAUAGUACGCUUUGGAAACUGUUUAACUUGAGUGCAGAAGGGGAGAGUGGAAUUCCAUGUGUAGCGGUGAAAUGCGUAGAUAUAUGGAGGAACACCGGUGGCGAAAGCGGCUCUCUGGUCUGUAACUGACGCUGAGGCUCGAAAGCGUGGGGAGCAAACAGGAUUAGAUACCCUGGUAGUCCACGCCGUAAACGAUGAGUGCUAGGUGUUGGGUCCUUUCCGGGACUCAGUGCCGCAGCUAACGCAUUAAGCACUCCGCCUGGGGAGUACGACCGCAAGGNUG
rnacentral:rRNA from 1 species